UUACAGCGACCCCGUAUAUACGAAAAUUGCAUUUACCACUUAUUGCUUAGCUAAUAAAAAGUACAUAGUAUACAAUCGGUGACUCAGUAUCAUACUUAUCCUGAUACCAGAUUCGAUUGACGCAACCAUUAACAGUAGACAUAGACGAGUGUGGCACAGUGUCCUCCUAACACCUAAUGCUUCAAUAGAUGGCAACUAUCAGUGCAGAGACUGUUGAUGCCUGAGUGGGCUGUAUGGGCACUGGGCCAGCUCACUGCAGGAAGUGUGCUACUGGCUACAUACUAACUGGAGCCUAAGUGUUUAGGUAAAAUUAUCAAAGAUUCCAGUCACCCAAUUCAUAGACUGUCCUCCUUGCUACCGCACGGCAAGUGGUACCAGAGC